AUUGAACGCUGGCGGUAGGCCUAACACAUGCAAGUCGAACGGUAACAGGAAGACGCUUGCUUCUUUGCUGAUGAGUGGCGGACGGGUGAGUAAUGUCUGGGAAACUGCCUGAUGGAGGGGGAUAACUACUGGAAACGGUAGCUAAUACCGCAUAACGUCGCAAGACCAAAAAGGGGGACCUUCGGGCCUCUUGCCAUCGGAUGUGCCCAGAUGGGAUUAGCUAGUAGGUGGGGUAACGGCUCACCUAGGCGACGAUCCCUAGCUGGUCUGAGAGGAUGACCAGCCACACUGGAACUGAGACACGGUCCAGACUCCUACGGGAGGCAGCAGUGGGGAAUAUUGCACAAUGGGCGCAAGCCUGAUGCAGCCAUGCCGCGUGUAUGAAGAAGGCCUUCGGGUUGUAAAGUACUUUCAGCGGGGAGGAAGGGAGUAAAGUUAAUACCUUUGCUCAUUGACGUUACCCGCAGAAGAAGCACCGGCUAACUCCGUG
rnacentral:rRNA from 1 species